AUGUUUAGGACGGUUGAACUUCAGAAGACUUCAAACAACAUCAGUAGGAUAAUUGAUGCUAACUGGAAUGAACAUAUGAAAACUUAUGUUGAAGCAGGGUGCAAACAACAGUCGCAAAGUGUUCAAAAUAUGUAUAAUUAAGCAGCAACCAAGAGUGCUACGGCUUUGGAUAACUCUUUUUGUGAAGAAAUGUUAAAAGAUAUUUCCUUUGAGGAAGAAAAGGAACCAUUGCCCAAGCAUCCUCAAGAUACAUCAAUAUCAGAAGUCAUGCUAAUGAAGAUCAUCAGUGAUAUGUUGAAGCUCGACUAUGCCAUGCAGAAAAAUAUUGUUUUGAACUUGAACAUUGGGACAAGUGUAUCUGAACUAGAAGGCUAUUGUCUCCUGUGAAAUCUGCAUCCAUAUAUAGAUGAUGACAUUAUACAUCGGGCAUGGCAAUAUGUUCCCUCUCA